AACCUCCGCAAUGUGAGAAAUCGCGACGGGGGGAUCCCAAGUGCCAUUCUUAACGGGAUGGCUUUUCAUUAGUGUAAAGAGCUUUUGGAAUAAGAGCUGGGCAAGACCGGUGCCAGCCGCCGCGGUAACACCGGCAGCUCUAGUGGUAGCUGUUUUUAUUGGGCCUAAAGCGUUCGUAGCCGGUUUGAUAAGUCACUGGUGAAAUCCUGUAGCUUAACUGUGGGAAUUGCUGGUGAUACUGUUGAACUUGAGGUCGGGAGAGGUUAGCGGUACUCCCAGGGUAGAGGUGAAAUUCUGUAAUCCUGGGAGGACCACCUGUGGCGAAGGCGGCUAACUGGAACGAACCUGACGGUGAGGGACGAAAGCUAGGGGCGCGAACCGGAUUAGAUACCCGGGUAGUCCUAGCCGUAAACGAUGCGGACUUGGUGUUGGGAUGGCUUUGAGCCGCUCCGGUGCCGGAGGGAAGCUGUUAAGUCCGCCGCCUGGGAAGUACGGUCGCAAGACUGAAACUUAAAGGAAUU
rnacentral:rRNA from 1 species